rnacentral:rRNA from 1 species
UACGGGGGGAGCAAGCGUUGUUCGGAUUUACUGGGCGUAAAGGGUGCGUAGGCGGUCUUCUAAGUUUGAUGUGAAAUCCCGGGGCUCAACCCUGGAAUUGCAUUGAAUACUGGAGGACUAGAGUACCGGAGAGGAAACUGGAAUUUACGGUGUAGCAGUGAAAUGCGUAGAGAUCGUAAGGAAGACCAGUGGCGAAGGCGAGUUUCUGGACGGUAACUGACGCUGAGGCACGAAGGCCAGGGGAGCAAACGGG